UGACCUCGUGAUCCGCCCGCCUUGGCCUCCCAAAGUGCUGGGAUUACAGGCAUGAACCACCGAUCCCGGCCAAGGAGUCAGAAUUCUUAAAUGGCUUAAUCAGUUGUACAUAUAGUUGAGGGCAGAAAUAAAUUUAUUAAUAAAAUCUAU